rnacentral:rRNA from 1 species
UACAGAGGUCUCAAGCGUUGUUCGGAUUCAUUGGGCGUAAAGGGUGCGUAGGCGGCGCGGUAAGUCGGGUGUGAAAUCUCGGAGCUUAACUCCGAAACUGCAUUCGAUACUGCCGUGCUUGAGGACUGGAGAGGAGACUGGAAUUUACGGUGUAGCGGUGAAAUGCGUAGAUAUCGUAAGGAAGACCAGUGGCGAAGGCGGGUCUCUGGGCCGAUACUGACGCUGAGGAGCGAAAGCGUGGGGAGCAAACAGG